GUAACUGCGCGGCCUACACUGGCAGUCGUACAGGAUAACUCAAGCUUGCUUAGCGGAUUAGUGGCGAACGGGUGAGUAACACGUGAGUAACCUGCCCUUGACUCUGGGAUAAGCGUUGGAAACGACGUCUAAUACCGGAUAUGACCUUCGGAGGCAUCUCCUGGGGGUGGAAAGAUUUUUUGGUCAAGGAUGGACUCGCGGCCUAUCAGGUUGUUGGUGAGGUAAUGGCUCACCAAGCCUACGACGGGUAGCCGGCCUGAGAGGGUGACCGGCCACACUGGGACUGAGACACGGCCCAGACUCCUACGGGAGGCAGCAGUGGGGAAUAUUGCACAAUGGGCGAAAGCCUGAUGCAGCAACGCCGUGUGAGGGAUGACGGCCUUCGGGUUGUAAACCUCUUUUAGUAAGGAAGAAGAACUUCGGUUUGACGGUACUUGCAAAAAAAGCACCGGCUAACUACGUGCCAGCAGCCGCGGUAAUACGUAGGGUGCAAGCGUUGUCCGGAAUUAUUGGGCGUAAAUAGCUCGUACGCGGUUUGUCU
rnacentral:rRNA from 1 species